GGGCACCGCCCACCCAUAUCUUGAGACCCGUCGUCAUCACCUUCCUGCUUUAACCAGAAAUCGACCACGGUGGUGUGCAAAAUCACUGGUUGCAACGUCCACGCACAGAAACUCAGUUAGGGUUUUAUCUUUCUCUUCGUUUCACAACCAUCCAUGUCGAAGAGGAAGUUCGGAAUCGAAGGGUUCGGCAUAAAUCGCCAAUCAACCUACAGUUUCGAACGAUCUCAAGCCCCUCAGCGACUCUACGUCCCUCCCUCCUCCCGCCACGGCCACGACAACUACGAAGACACAGACCUCGACAACAUCGAGUACGACGACAACGACGGCGCCAAGGAAGACGGCAAUAAAAACAAUGGCGGCAACGAGGAGGAGGAAAUCGAUCCCUUAGAUGCGUUCAUGGAAGGGAUUCACGAAGAGAUGAGGGCGGCGCCGCCUCCGAAGCCGAAGGAGAAGGUAGAGGAUAGGUAUAGAGACGACGAAGAGGACGAUCCUAUGGAGAGCUUUCUGAAGGCAAAGAAGGACCUAGGGUUGACGCUUGCGUCGGAGGCGCUGCACGCUGGUUAUGAUUCUGAUGAAGAGGUUUAUGCUGCUGCCAAAGCUGUGGACGCUGGUAUGAUUGAGUACGAUUCUGAUGAUAACCCUAUUAUUGUUGACAAGAAGAAAAUUGAGCCCAUACCUGCUCUUGAUCACUCUUCCAUUGAUUACGAUUCCUUUAAUAAGGAUUUUUAUGAGGAGACCCCUUCAAUAUCAGGUAUGAGUGAGCAGGAUGUAACUGAAUUUAGGAAGAGUUUGGCUAUUCGUGUGUCAGGUUUUGAUGUUCCUAAGCCAAUAAAGGCAUUUGAGGACUGUGGGUUCGCUCCACAGAUUAUGAAUGCUAUAAAAAAACAAGGGUAUGAGAAGCCCACGUCUAUACAAUGUCAAGCUUUGCCAGUUGUGCUUUCUGGUAGAGAUAUAAUUGGCAUAGCAAAAACUGGUUCUGGUAAAACUGCUGCUUUUGUGCUUCCUAUGAUUGUGCAUAUCAUGGAUCAGCCUGAGCUUCAGAAGGAGGAGGGUCCGAUAGGGGUGAUAUGUGCGCCUACCAGAGAAUUGGCACAUCAGAUAUAUUUGGAAUCCAAGAAAUUUGCAAAAUCGUAUGGUAUACGCGUCGCUGCUGUGUAUGGUGGAAUGUCAAAACUUGAUCAGUUCAAAGAACUCAAGGCCGGCAGUGAGAUUGUUGUUGCUACACCUGGCAGAUUGAUAGACAUGCUAAAAAUGAAGGCGUUGACAAUGACGAGGGCAACUUACCUGGUGCUUGAUGAGGCUGAUCGGAUGUUUGAUCUUGGAUUUGAGCCACAAGUGAGGUCCAUUGUUGGUCAGAUUCGGCCAGACCGUCAAACUUUACUCUUUUCUGCAACGAUGCCUCGUAAAGUUGAAAAGUUGGCCAGGGAAAUCCUUACUGAUCCUAUUAGGGUAACUGUUGGUGAGGUUGGAAUGGCAAAUGAAGAUAUUACACAAGUUGUUCAUGUAAUUCCUUCUGAUUCUGAAAAAUUGCCAUGGCUUCUGGAAAAGUUGCCUGAAAUGAUCGAUCAAGGUGAUACCCUUGUAUUUGCUUCCAAAAAGGCUACUGUGGAUGAAAUUGAAUCACAAUUGGCUCAAAGAGGGUUUAAAGUUGCUGCCCUGCAUGGUGAUAAAGAUCAAGCUUCUCGUAUGGAUAUUUUACAGAAGUUUAAAUCUGGCCUCUACCAUGUGCUUGUUGCAACUGAUGUUGCUGCUCGUGGUCUUGAUAUCAAGUCAAUUAAGUCGGUGGUAAACUUUGAUAUUGCAAAAGAUAUGGACAUGCAUGUCCAUCGCAUUGGAAGAACAGGCCGUGCUGGUGACAAGGAUGGGGUUGCAUACACCCUAAUAAGUCAGAAAGAGGCACGGUUUGCUGGUGAAUUGGUUAAUAGCUUAAUUGCUGCCGGUCAGAAUGUGUCCAUGGAGUUGAUGGAUCUUGCUAUGAAGGUGGGAGAAAAGGCAAAGGCAGAGGUGGUGGCGGGGGUGGCCGAGGUGUGCGUGGAGUGGAUUUUGGCUUGGGCAUUGGAUAUAAACCAGAGUCAAACAUCGCAUCAUCUAACACGGUUCCAAGUCGAUCUGCCGCUGUAAAUUCAUUGCGAACAGGAAUGAUGUCACAAUUUAGGAGCAACUUCGUUGCUGCUUCAUCGAACACACAGAAUCAAGAAUUCAGUAACAAUACAAGCAUGGCUGCAAAUAAGAGACCAGCACUCCCUGGUUUUGUAUCUGGUGGAUCAAUUGGGGGUGAGAUAAAUACUCAUCAACAUACUGCUUCAUCAAGUCCUGCUACAUCAGCAGUAAAUUUCUCUAGUCAAAGUUCUGGAGUAAAUCCUGGUCAGAAGAGCACCAACAGUUCUAAACCUAGAGAAAGGCGGAGGCCAUCAGGUUGGGAUAGAUAGUGCCCCAUGGAAAGACACCAUUGUCAAAUGUAUCAAUGUUCCUAUACUAUAGGUCAAGUCUCGAGUUUGUUUUCUUUGUAUUAUUAAAUGCUCCAGUUUUCAAUCACCUAUUAUUUUAGCUUCUGAAGUUAUAAAAAAGGUUUGAGGUUUGUUUGGUUCUAUUUUCUAUUUUUGAUUUUAAGAAGCCGUAUAAACAAUAAAGUAAAGCAUUAUCCUACGAAAUGUCAAUGUGGUCGUCCGCAGGGAUCACUGAAUCCAUAGUUUCGGGUUCUGUAAAAAAAAAUGUAAUUAAUCGUUUUGUAUAUUACAACUUUAAAGCAAAUUUUUAAAACAAAGGGACUAAAGAUGUUGGAUAGUUUAUUUCCCAACAAGUUUAAAAGCAAUUAAACAAAAUGUGUUGGAGAUGUGAUUUCCCUCUAUCAUGUUACCUAUCCCCAUCUGUGUUUUGUGUUUAGAAGGUGUUAAAUUUGAUAUUAGUGUUAUAUAUUCCUGAAGGUUUGGCUUAAUGGUAGAAAGUAUGUAAUGUUUAGGUGGAUACAUACAUAAUCAUAUGUUCGAAUUUUAGUUAUAUCAAUUAUAUGUAGUUAUGUCCUAAGAGUAAUUCUGAUCUAGACAACCUCACAUUCACUAGAUUGGAGUGAUGAUACAAUUGAAACUUACAGAAGUCUUCUAAGCAUUGCCAGUUGUAAUUUAAAAUAAUAGUAUUCCGAUGAUUUUUAAUGAUACAUCAUUAAAUAAAUUUAACUUUUUCAGUAACACUGAAAAUUUAUAAAGGCAUUAAUCAUUCGAUUAUCAAUUCAUGAAAUUUAAUUCAUACUAAAAAGUUUUACUCAUCAAUUUAUUUGGAAUUUUUUAAAAAUAAAAUACAUUUUGUUUCUAAUCGAUUCCCAAACCUUAUUUUAAGGCUCCAUUUAAAAAUCCAUGACAAUCGUUGUCUAGAAUAAACAAAAUUACCGCUAUUUCAUCUAUUUUAUAAUUCGUAUCCGUUUAUUUAUAAUUGUUUUUGCUUUUGGUUUAAAACUCUAUUGUGUUUAAUUAAUUGAAAAAAUAUCGGUUUGAAUUGAAAGUUAUUUUGAAAAUUUAUAAUGUUUUAUAUUUUUUAUACAUAUAAAACCUUGAAAUUUAUUUUAAUAUAUAUUUAAAAUUAAUGAAUAAUAUCCUUUAAAAAUUAAUAGACAAAACUUAUAUGCUAUUCUUUAAAUGUUAUUUUUUAGUCAAAAUUAAAAUUUUAUUUUAAUAAAAUAUUUACAUUCAAUGCUAUCAUAAAUCAUUAAAAUAAAACUUUGAUUUUAAUUAAUAAAUGAUACUAGCAGUCUUAAAAGAAAGAUAUAACUAUACUUUGAACAAAAUUGAAUAAGAUCACAAAAUUUUUGUUUUUGAAAUAAUCAUUUUCUUGCAAUUAAAUUUUUUUAAUUCCAUAAUAUACCAUCCCUUGAACGAGUUUUAUUUGUUAAUGACAAAUAUUUGUAACUUGGUACUUUUAUUGUUUUGUUCUAAAAACCCAUAAACCCUCUGUGACUCGGGAGUGAAGUGACUCUAUU